CACGUAGGGCGCAAGCGUUGUCCGGAAUUAUUGGGCGUAAAGCGCACGUAGGCGGUUUGUUAAGUCGGAUGUGAAAUCCCUCGGCUCAACUGAGGAAGUGCAUCCGAAACUGGCAAGCUUGAGUACGAAAGAGGGUCGCGGAAUUCCCGGUGUAGAGGUGAAAUUCGUAGAUAUCGGGAGGAACACCGGUGGCGAAGGCGGCGACCUGGGUCGAUACUGACGCUGAGGUGCGAAAGCGUGGGGAGCAAACAGG
rnacentral:rRNA from 1 species